rnacentral:lncRNA from 1 species
GGGAACCUCAAGACAACAUUCCCCAGCUGACCUUUGGGAACUUUAACUCGGGUCGUCAUGUACGGAAAGGUAGUCUAUGGGGUACGCAGAAUGGAAAAGGGCUUCCACAUCAGUCGUGUCCGAGGACGCUCUCCAACUUUCGAUGUCCCUGGAGAGUUUCUGAUAUUUCCCUGGAGAGUUUCAGAAAGGAUUUCUUCCGACAGACGUGACCCCAGAAGGCUGCCGAGGGAGACUUUAGGACAAGAGGCGUUGUUUUUUUAGGGAAGGAAGAGGAGCCUGUGCAGAGUUGAAGUGGGGUGGAGAGGUGCCUUGUAAAGUAUGGUUUCCAGAGAUGGUGAGACCUCGUAGCUAAGCGUUGUUUCCUCUGCACGUAACUGUGAGUUGUGAACUUGUGGCUCCUGGGGGAGCAGGACAGGGCCUGGCAGUGCGGGGGAGGGGGCAAGGAAUUCAGGAAGUUGGCGAGAAUUCUUCGUUUUUCAUUCUUCGUUGUAAAUUGCUUCUAAACACUUCUGAAUUUUAAAUUGCUACCGAGAAGGUCCAGAAACCGUUCUCAUCCAAUUUAGUCACUUUUAUUACAUUCCACUUUGCCUCCCCCAAUCACUGCGGCUCCCAGUUUCAGCGUGGCCGCAUUUGGAAAAGGCUGAAGGUAGAAAACUCUGGAAUGGAGAGGCUGGCGACUGGAGCAGGAUCCAGGGGCUUUAAAUUUUAACCUGAGUGCGAUCGAAUGCGCGACUCCCAGAAGAGAUAGCCAGGCGUCCGCCCGGCCGCUCAACCCCUGCCAGGACUCGGAAUGCCUUGCUUUUGGUUCUUUUCUACAAGGAUGUCUGCGUGGAUAUCCCUGGACACUCGAUACCCCCCGGGGACCUGCUUUUCCCGCAGCUCCGCAGACGCGGCGGGAGGGCGCGCUGGCCCCGGCGCUGCUGGGACAGAGGUGAGCAGCGGGGUGGACAUUGACCGAUUCGACAACGUUCGGGCUCUAAGGGCUCGGGAAGGGACCCGGCAUUUUACCCUCCAGAUUCCCAAUCUAUUUUUUAAAAUAAUGUUCAAAACAUAUGGGAAAAAUAAGUGAUUGCUCCUUUUCAUGGUCACAGAUUGUAUUUAUUUUUUCAGACUGGUUUUCCAACCUAACGAGGGAAUGGGUAGUGA